rnacentral:rRNA from 1 species
CGCUUCCUACGGGGGGCAGCAGUGGGGGAUAUUGCACAAUGGGGGAAACCCUGAUGCAGCGACGCCGCGUGUGGGAAGACGGUCUUCUGGAUUUUAAACCACUGUCCCCAGGGACGAAAAUGACGGUACCUGGGGAGGAAGCUCCGGCUAACUACGUGCCAGCAGCCGCGGUAAUACGUAGGGAGCAAGCGUUGUCCGGAAUUACUGGGUGUAAAGGGAGCGUAGGCGGGGAUGCAAGUUGGGGGUCAAAACUAUCGGCUCAACCGAUAGGAGCACUCAAAACU